rnacentral:rRNA from 1 species
CCAGACUCCUACGGGAGGCAGCAGUGGGGAAUAUUGCACAAUGGGGGGAACCCUGAUGCAGCGACGCCGCGUGAGUGAAGAAGUAUUUCGGUAUGUAAAGCUCUAUCAGCAGGGAAGAAAAUGACGGUACCUGACUAAGAGGCCCCGGCUAACUACGUGCCAGCAGCCGCGGUAAUACGUAGGGGGCAAGCGUUAUCCGGAUUUACUGGGUGUAAAGGGAGCGUAGACGGUUAUGCAAGUCUGAAGUGAAAGCCCAAGGCUCAACCAUGGGACUGCUCUGGAAACUGUAAGGCUGGAGUGCGGGAGGGGCAGGCGGAAUUCCUGGUGUAGCGGUGAAAUGCGUAGAUAUCAGGAGGAACACCGGCGGCGAAGGCGGCCUGCUGGACCGUAACUGACGUUGAGGCUCGAAAGCGUGGGGAGCAAACAGGAUUAGAUACCCUAGUAACG